AGUCAGCUGGAAUCAGGCAGGACACAUCAUGGCCAUGGGGGACCACGCUCAGCUCUUGUGGCUGCUGCUGCUCUGGAUCACAACUGUAAUUUGUGACAUCCAGAUGACAGAAUCCCCAUCAUUCCUCUCUGCAUCUCUAGGAGACCAAGUUACCAUCAACUGCAGGGCCACUAAGAAUAUUAACAAGCAUUUAGCUUGGGUUCAACAGAAACCAGGGAAAUCUCCUAGGAUAUUAAUCCAUUUUGCAUCCAAUUUGCUAACUGGGGUUCCAGCAAAGUUCAGUGGGAGUGGAUCUGGUACAGAUUUUUCCCUCACUAUCAACAACCUGGAGUCUGAAGACAUUGCAACAUAUUACUGUCUACAGUAUUCUGAGCAUCCUCCCACAGUGAUACAAGUCAUAACAAAAACCCCCAGGGAAGCUAAAAUGUGAGGGUUACCCAGGGCGUGUUUUGUGAUUCUCUCACUGCUAAGAACAAUUACUGGAUGUAUUCAUACUUCAAAGUUGUUCAAAAUCAACAGCACAGAUGUUAUUCUGCCUCCUCUUGGAUUGUUUAAAGUCAGAAUUUACCUGCUAAUGAAAACAUGAACUACCAUCCUGAGACAUACCCCAAUAGCUCAAAGUGUAGGGGCUGAUGCCACAUCUGAAAUACCACAGUAGUAAUUUCACAGUCCUCACCCAAAUCCAUGCAUCUGUCUGUAUGAACUGGUUUGUUGGCAGCAGUAAGUUUGCUGCCUUAAUUUUAAAUGCCCUUUUUUGUUCUG